CCUACGGUGUGCAGCAGUGAGGAAUAUUGGUCAAUGGGCGCGAGCCUGAACCAGCCAAGUAGCGUGAAGGAUGACUGCCCUACGGGUUGUAAACUUCUUUUAUAAAGGAAUAAAGUGAGGCACGUGUGCCUUUUUGUAUGUACUUUAUGAAUAAGGAUCGGCUAACUCCGUGCCAGCAGCCGCGGUAAUACGGAGGAUCCGAGCGUUAUCCGGAUUUAUUGGGUUUAAAGGGAGCGUAGAUGGGUUGUUAAGUCAGUGGUAAAAUCGCGGGGCUCAACCUCGCUCCGCCGUUGAAACUGGCGUUCUUUAGUGGGCGAGAAGUAUGCGGAAUGCGUGGUGUAGCGGUGAAAUGCAUAGAUAUCACGCAGAACUCCGAUUGCGAAGGCAGCAUACCGGCGCCCAACUGACGCUGAAGCACGAAAGCGUGGGUAUCGAACAGGAUUAGAUACCCGAGUAGUC
rnacentral:rRNA from 1 species